rnacentral:rRNA from 1 species
CCCAGACUCCUACGGGAGGCAGCAGUGGGGGAUAUUGCACAAUGGGGGAAACCCUGAUGCAGCGACGCCGCGUGAGUGAAGACGGCCUUCGGGUUGUAAAGCUCUGUCAAUCGGGACGAAGAAGAUGACGGUACCGAUGAAGGGAGCUCCGGCUAACUACGUGCCAGCAGCCGCGGUAAUACGUAGGGGGCAAGCGUUGUCCGGAAUUACUGGGUGUAAAGGGCGCGUAGGCGGACUGUCAAGUCAGUCGUGAAAUACCGAAGCUUAACUUCGGGGCUGCGAUUGAACCUGACAGCCUUGAGUAUCGGAGAGGAAAGCGGAAUUCCUAGUGUAGCGGUGAAAUGCGUAGAUAUUAGGAGGACCACCAGUGGCGAAGGCGGCUUUCUGGACGACAACUGCCGCUGAGGCGCGAGAGUGUGGGGAGCAAACAGGAUUAGAUACCCCUGUAUA